GACGGAAGGCGCGAACGUUGUUCGGAAUCACUGGGCAUAAAGAGCUCGUAGGCGGUUCGUCAAGUCAGGGGUGAAAUCCCUCGGCUCAACCGAGGAACGGCCUCUGAAACUGGCGGGCUAGAGGGCAGGAGGGGAGAGCGGAAUUCCUGGUGGGUGGUGAAAUGCGUAGAUAUCAGGAGGAACGCCGGCGGCGAAAGCGGCUCUCUGGUCUGUUCCUGACGCUGAGGAGCGAAAGCUAGGGCAGCAAACAGG
rnacentral:misc_RNA from 1 species